rnacentral:rRNA from 1 species
AUGGCGACGGAAGACGAAGCGCGAGAAGCGGCAGAUGGGGAGGAAGUUCAAGUGGAAGCUGGGGAUCUGGGGACAACACAUUUGCAAAUGAACCUAGAUAGCAAGCUUUCAUCUCAUGCAGAGAUGAAGGACGAGGCAAGAGCCAUGGAUUCAACUGAAGGAAUGAAGGUUUCAGAGGAUCAAGUUUUAGAAAGAGCACCCUCUGUAGUCGAAAUUCCUCAAGAAGAUGCUCCAAAUGGUACACAUGCUUCUCUGAAUGGUCAUAUGAAAGAAGGGAAGAUCUCGAAUGAGAAGCCACAAGAAAAUGGUCAGAAAGGUAACGAGCAGGUAGAAGCUUUGCCAGAUGGAAUAAGCACCGAUCGGAGCAGCACAAGUAAUGGCGAAGAGGCAAUUGAUUCUUUAGACCAUGUUGAGAACACUACAGAAGGUACCAGCCUUCUAAAACAUGAUAAUGAAGAGCCAAAGGAACAUUGUCAACGAGAUGUAGAAGGUGCUGCAAUAGAGAGCAAAAUGGUGCACAAAGACACACUGCAGCCUGACAAUGAUGUUGAGCCAACAAUUGACGCUCAACAAGGCCACAAUCUGGAACCAGCAGAAGUAACUGAGGACACACAACCCACAACCAUGCCAUGUAUUCCUGGUGAAGAAGUUGUAGCUGAAGCACCUGCUGGAGUCCAAACUUCUUUGGAGCCUAAUGUGGAUGAGCCUGACGCCCUUCCAGAUAAUAGUGAUGGAAACACAGAAACAGUUGAACCAGCUAAAGUGGAUAAAGAGAACUGUCCAGAAGAUGAAGAUAUUGAGACCGUCAAACCAGAAGAUCAACCGAGUGAUAAAACUGACGAUGUGGAGGCAGACGUGGUGCAUGAAGAGGUGCCUAAAAGCAAGAAAACAGAUGUACCUGAAGAUAUGCCUAAAACUGGGCAAGCUGACGAGUCAAUGAAUGGUGAUCAAGAAGUGCUGAAUCAAGAAUCAACAGAAGAAACCAGUGACCCUCUGCCUGAAAAAACUGAAGAAACUUCUCAUGAGAGCAAUGUGUCCACCUCUGAGGAGACAACUCCAGAACAUGAUGCAGUGACAAGGGAGCCAGCUCUUGAUGUUCAAGAAGUGCAAAACCAGGGAUUAGCAGAAGAAAUAGCAGAUGCCAAAGAAGUUGAUACUGAGCAAAAAGUUCAACAAAGUGGUAUUGCUUUUGAGGAGGCAACUCCAGAAGAUAAUGCAACAAUCAUUGAACCAAGUUCUGACAUCCAACAUUUAAAUAAUGUGGAGUCAGAAGAAAUAAAGGGUCUUGAAGAUGCCAAAGCUGAAGAAUCCUCCGAUCAAAGCAAUGUGACAAUUGCUGAAGAUGCAACCCAAGAUAAGGAAGCAACAAAAGAUAUGCAACCAGUUCAAGGGUUGGAAGAGGAAGAACCUAAGAACACUGGAACUGUCGUAAUGGAUGAAGCUUCCAGUCAACCACAUGCUGAUGUCACCAAUAACCUUGCUGAAGAAGACAGUGUACCAGCAUGUCAGCCCCAGGUGACAGAAUUAAAAGAAGAGGUGAAGGACACUGGAGCCACUGAAACUCAAGAAAUCACUCAACAAAGUCAUGCUGCUGCUUCAGAGGAACUAAUAGCAGAAGACAAUUCUAUGGCAAUUGAACCAUUGAUUGAUGAAAUCCAGCAACCCCUGGAAAAAGCAUCAGCUGAAGUUAAGCACGCAGAAGUUUCUGAGACUCCAGAAAUCUGCCAUGAAAGAACUAUUUCUGCUCCUGAGGACUCUGUAAAAGAUGAUGUAACAGCAGAAGGACCAACCUCUGAUGCCCAAGAGGUAGAAAAUGUAGCAUCAGUAGAAGAAAUCAAGGACAACACAGCUGAGAAUAUCAUUGAAACCUCUAGUGUGGCAACUACUGAAGAGGCAGAUCAAGAAAAGAAUGUGCUAACAAGUGAGGAUGUGACUGAACAGCAAAUGCGUGGGCUUGAAACAGAAGAAAUACAGAACACUGAACCUGUUGAGAAAGAAGAAGUUUCUGAUCAAAGGCAUCCUUCUCUCUUGAAUGACUCAGCUCAAGAAGAUAGUAUACCAAGUGAUGGGCCAAAGACUGAAUCAACAGUAGGCGUGAAGGAAACUGAAGCACUCCCCCAGGAAAGCAAUGUUACCAUUUCUGAGGAGCCUGCUUCAGAAGAAAAUAUAACAGCAAGUGAAGUAACUUGUGAUGAUCAAGAAGUAAAAAAAUUGGAACAAGCAAAAGGUGUUGAGAGCAACAAAGAUACCAAAACUAAAGAAAUCUCUGACCAAAGCACUGAGGUUUUUGCCAGGGAGACAACUCAAGGAACCAGUGACAUUGCAAGAGAGCCAGCUGUUGAUAUGCAAUCGGUGCAGGAGCUAGAAUCAGAAAAGAAGAAUGCAGAACUUACUGAAGUGAGUGAAGCAUCUGGUCAAUUGGAUGCUGCCGUCAUUGAGAACCCAACUCAUGAAGAUAACCUAACCACAAGUGAGUCGCUUGUGAUGGAACCAGCAGAAGUGAGCAGCAAUGAAGCCACUGAAGGUCAAGAAAUGCCUCAAAGUGAUGCUACUCAGUCGGAAGAUCACAAAACAGAAGGAAAUGUGGCAGUGAGUGAACCACAGAUCCUGGAACCAGAACCUGCUGAAGAAAUGAGAGACAGUGAAGCCACUGAACCUCGAGCUAUCCCGCAAGAAAGCAUGUCUGUUCCAGAAGAAGAUGUAACAGCAAAAGAAGCAGCUUCUGAUAUCAAAGAAGUACAAACCGAAGAGAUAGUAGGGGAACCUGAUGAUGUGAGAGCUGAAGAAAUAUCCAACCAGAGCAGUGGGACUAUUGUUGGAGAAACAGCUCAAGACAAGUUACUAUCAAGUGACCCAACUAGUGAUGUACAAGCAAAGGAGCUUGAAUCACAAAAAAUUGGUAACAGUGAGGAUGUUCAAACUGAAGAAGGUUCCCAUCAAACACAUGCUGAAGAAAAUUUGACAGAAAAUGAGCCACAAAUAGCAACAGAAGAUAACACAGCAAUCCUGACAGAUGUUCACAUUCAGCAGCUUCAAGAGCAAGAACCGGUUGAAUUCAGGGACACUGAAGCUACUGAACCUCAAGGGAUCUCCCCAUCUCACACUGCCUCUGGUUCUGAGCAGUCCACACCAGAAGAUAACGAGAUGACAGACCCAAGUCCUGCCACUCAAGCAGAGAAUUUAGAAUCAGCAAUACUGACGGAGGAAAGUAAAGAUGUUAAAAGCACUGAUGCAAUUGCUGAGGAGGAAACUCCCAGAGAACGCAUACAGGAAUCUGGGGCACAUGUUGAUAUACCACCAGUGGAGAAUACUGAGCCCGUUGAGGUGCAUGACAAUGUAACGACAGAUGACCUGCCAACAGAAGAGCUGAAGGACAAUGAAGCCAUAGAGGUUGCAGAAAUCCACUAUGAGAGCCCUGUUGCAAAUAUUGGUGAUCUCACUGAAGAUGCCAAAAGCAAUGUUGCUCUUGAAGAUGAGGCAGCUCCUGGUGAAGAUGUGAAAACAGAGGCAACUGGUAUUCAACCACAAGAGACAGAAUUAGAAGAGAUCAAGAAUAGUGAACCUGUUGAAGUGGAAGAUAAUAUAAUAGCAAGGGACCUGCCAGCAGAAGAGAUCAAGGACACUGAAGCCAUGGAAACUGAGAUGAUCCCUCAUGAGAGUACUGGUGCAAAAAUUAGCGAGCUCAUCAAUGAUGUGAAAAGCAAUGUUGCUCUUGCAGACGAGGCAGCCCCUGAUGAAUAUUCAAAAGCAACAGAGGCAACUCAUGCUACACCACAACCGCAAGAGCCAGACCUAGAAGAUAUCAAGAAUAGUGAACCAGCUGAAGUGGAACGAAACACAUCAGCAAGUGAUCUGCCAGCAGAAAAAGUGAAGGAUACUGAAGCCGUGGAAACUGAAGCAAUCAACGAGAGCACUGAUGCAAACAACAGUGAGUUCACUGAAGAUCUGCAAAGCAAUGUUGCUCUUACAGAUGAGGCAACUCAUGACGAACAUGUAGCGGUAGCGGAGACAACAGUUGAUAUACCACAAGCACAAGAGCCAGAACUAGAAGAGGUCAAGAAUAUCGAACCUGUUGAGGUGGAAGAAACUAGAUCAGCAAGUGACCUGCCAGCAGAAGACGUGAAGGAAACUGAAGCAAUAAACGGGAGCACUAUUGCAAACACCAGCAAGCUAUCUGAGGAUGUGACAAGCAAUGUUGUUCCUGCAGAUGAAGCAGCUCCUGAAGAGCAUGUAAUAGCAACUGAGGCAACAGUUGAUAUACCAGAAGCACAAGAGCCAGAACUAGAAGAGACCAAGAGUACUGAACCUGCUGAAGUGGAAGAAAACAUAUCAGCAAAUGAUCUGCCAGCAGAAGAGGUGAAGGAUACUGAAGCCGUGGAGACUGAAGCAAUCAACGAGAGCACUGAUUCAAACAACAGUGAGCUCCCUGAAGAUUUGAAAAACAAUGUUGCCCUUGCAGACGUGGCCGCUCCUGAAGAACAUGUAACAGUAGCUGAUGAUACAUUUGAUAUGCCACAAGCACAAGAGCCAGAAGUAGAAGAGAUGAAGAAUACUGAACCUGUUGAAGUGGAAGAAAACAUAUCAGCAAGUGACCUGCCAGCAGAAGAGGUGAAGGACACUGAAGAAAUCAACGAGAGUGCUGAUGCAAACAUCAGUGAGCUCACAGAGGAGGUGAAAUGCAAUGUUGCUCUUGCAGACGAGGAACCUCAUGAAGAGCAUGUAACAGUAGCUGAGACAGCAGUUGAUAUACCACAACCACAGGAGCUGGAACUAGAAGAGAUCAAGAAUACUGAACCUGUUGAGGUGGAAGAAAACAUGUCAGCAAGUGACAUGCAGGCAGAAGAGGUGAAACCUACUGAAGCAAUCAAUGAGAGCACUGAUGCGAACAUCAGUGAGCUCACUGAGGAUGUCAAAACUGAUGUUGCUCUUGCAGACGAGGCAGCUCCUGAAGAACAUGUGAUAGCAACUGAGGCAACAGUUGACAUACCGCAAGCACAAGAUCCAGAACUAGAAGAAAUCAAGAAUACUGAAACUGUUGAAGUGGAAGAAAACAUAUCAGCAAGUGACCUGCCGGCAGAAGAGGUGAAGGACGCUGAAGCCAAAGAAACAGAAGCAAUAACUGAGAGCACUGAUGCAAACAUCAGUGAACUCACUGAGGAUGUGAAAAGUACUGUUACUCGUGCAGAUGAGGCAGCUCCAGAAGAGCAUGUAACAGCAGCUGAGGCAGCAGUUGAUAUACCACAAGCACAAGUGUCAGAACUACAAGAGCUCGAGAAUGUUGAACCUGACGAGGUAGAAGAAAACAGAUCAACAGGUGACCUGCCAGCAGAAGAGGUGAAGGAAAUUGAAGCCAAGGAAACUGAAGCAAUUAACGAGAGCACUGAUGCAAACAUCAGCGAGCUCACCGGGAAUGUGACAAGCAAUGUUACUCCUGCAGACGAGGCAGCUCCUGAAGAGCAUGUAACAGCAACUGAGGCAACAGUUGAUAUUCCACGAGCACAAGAGCCAGACCUAGAAGAGAUUGAGAAUGUUGAACCUGUUGAGGUGGAAGAAAACGCAUCAGCUAAUGACAUGCUGGCAGAAGAGGUGAAGGACACUGAAGCCAAGGAAACUGAUGCAAUCAACGAGAGCAGUGAUGCAAACAUCAGUGAGCUUACUGAAGAUAUGAAAAGCAACGUUGCUCUUAUAGAUGAGGCAGCUCAUGAAGAACAUGUAACAGUAGCCGAGACAACAGCCGAUAUACCACAAGCACAAGAGCCGGAGCUAGAAAAGAUCAAGAAUACUGAAGCAGGUGACCUGUCAGCAGAAGAGGUCAAGGAAAUUGAACCCAAGGAAACUGAAGCAAUCAGCGAAAGGACUGAUGCAAACAUCAGCGAGCUCAAUGAGGAUGUGAAAAGCAAUGUUGCACUUGCAGACGAGGAACCUCAUGCAGAGCAGGUAACAGUAACUGAGAGAACAGUUGACAUACCACAAGCACAGGAGCCGGAACUAGAAGAGAUCGAGAAUACUGAACCUGUUGAGGUGGAAGAAAAUAGAUCAGCAAGUGACCUGCAAGCAGAAGAGGUGAAGGAAACUGAAGCAAUCAACGAGAGAACUGUUGCAAACACCAGUGAGCUACCUGAGGAUGUGACAAGCAAUGUUGUUCCUGCAGACGAGGCAGCUCCUGAAGAGCAUGUAAUAGCAACUGAGGCAACAGUUGACAUACCAGAAGCACAAGGGCCAGAACUAGAAGAGACCAAGAGUACUGAGCCUGCUGAAGUGGAAGAAAACAUAUCAGCAAAUUAUCUGCCAGCAGAAGAGGUGAAGGAUACUGAAGCCAUAGAGACUGAAGCAAUCAAUGAGAACACUGAUGCAAACAACACUGAGCUCACUGAAGAUGUGAAAAACAAUGUUGCUCUUGCAGAUGAGGCAGCUCCUGAAGAACAUAUAACAGUAGCUGAUGAUACAGUUGAUAUGCCACAAGUACAAGAGCCAGAAGUAGAAGAGAUAAAGAAUACUGAACCUGUUGAAGUGGAAGAAAAGAUGUCAGCAAGUGACAUGCAGGCAGAAGAGGUGAAGGACACUGAAGCAAUCAACGAGAGCACUGAUGCGAACAUCAGUGAGCUCAGUGAGGAUGUCAAAACUAAUGUUGCGCUUGCAGACGAGGCAGCUCCUGAAGAACAUGUAAUAGCAACUGAGGCAACAGUUAACAUACCACAAGCACAGGAGCUGGAACUAGAAGAGAUCAAGAAUACUGAACCUGUUGAGGUGGAAGAAAACAUGUCAGCAAGUGACAUGCAGACAGAAGAGGUGAAGAACUCUGAAGCAAUCAAUGAGAGCACUGAUGAGAACAUCAGUGAGCUCACUGAGGAUGUCAAAACUAAUGUUGACGAGGCAGAUCCUGAAGAGCAUGUGAUAGCAACUGAGGCAACAGUUGACAUACCACAAGCACAAGAUCCAGAACUAGAAGAAAUCAAGAAUACUGAACCUGUUGAAGUGGAAGAAAACAUAUCAGCAAGUGACCUGCCGGCAGAAGAGGUGAAGGACGCUGAAGCCAAAGAAACAGAAGCAAUAACCGAAAGCACUGAUGCAAACAUCAGUGAACUCACUGAGGAUGUGAAAAGUAAUGUUACUCGUGCAGAUGAGGCAGCUCCAGAAGAGCAUGUAGUAGCAGCUGAGGCAGCAGUUGAUAUACCACAAGCACAAGUGUCAGAACUACAAGAGCUCGAGAAUGUCGAACCUGACGAGGUGGAAGAAAACAGAUCAGCAGGUGACCUGCCAGCGGAAGAGGUGAAGGAAAUUGAAGCCAAGGAAACUGAAGCAAUUAACGAGAGCACUGAUGCAAACAUCAGCGAGCUCACCGGGGAUGUGACAAGCAAUGUUACUCCUGCAGACGAGGCAGCUCCUGAAGAGCAUGUAACAGCAACUGAGGCAACAGUUGAUAUUCCACGAGCACAAGAGCCAGAACUAGAAGAGAUCAAGAAUGUUGAACCUGUUGAGGUGGAAGAAAAUGCAUCAGCUAGUGACAUGCCGGCAGAAGAGGUGAAGGACACUGAACCCAAGGAAACUGAAGCAAUCAGCGAAAGGACUGAUGCAAACAUCCGCGAGCUCAAUGAGGAUGUGAAAAGCAAUGUUGCACUUGCAGACGAGGAACCUCAUGCAGAGCAGGUAACAGUAGCUGAGAGAACAGUUGACAUGCCACAAGCACAGGAGCCGGAACUAGAAGAGAUAAAAAAUACUGAACCUGUUGAGGUGGAAGAGAAUAGAUCAGCAAGUGACAUGCAAGCAGAAGAGGUGAAGGAAACUGAAGCAAUCAAUGAGAGCCCUGAUGCAAACAUCAGCGAGCUCACUGAGGAUGUGACAAGCAAUGUUGCUCCUGCAGACGAGGCAGCUCCUGAAGAGCAUGUAAUAGCAACCAAGGCGACAGUUGAUAUUCCACGAGCACAAGAGCCAGACCCAGAAGCAAUGAAGAAUACUGAACCAGUUGAAGUGGAAGAAUUCAUAUCAGCGAGUGACCUGCCGACAGAAGAGGUGAAGGAGACUGAAACCAAGGAAACUGAAGCAAUCAAUGAGAGCACUGAUGCAAACAUCAGUGAGCUCACUGAGGAUGUAAAAGGCAAUAUUGCUCAUGCAGAUGAGGCAGCUCCUGAAGAACAUGUAAUAGCAGCUGAGGCAACAGAUGAUAUACCACAAGCACAAGUGCCAGAACUAAAAGAGUUCGAGAAUACUGAACCUGUUGAGGUGGAAGAAAACAAAUCAGCAACUGACCUGCCAGCUGAAGAGGUGAAGGACAUUGAAACCAUCGAAACUGAAGCAGUCAACAAGAACGCUGAUACAAACAUCAGUGAGCUCACUGAAGAUGUUACUCUUGCGGAGGAGGCAGCUGCUGACGUACAAAUCAAUGUACCACCAGCAAAGGAGCCAGCACUAGAAGAGAUGAAGAAUAUUGAACCUGUUGAAGCAGAAGAUGGUAUAACAGCGGAUAAUGUCCCAGCAGAAGAGAUAAAUGACACUGAAGCCAUGGAGACUCGAGAAAUCCCUCAUGAGAAUACAGAUGAUAGUUUGAUAGCAAGUGCAGAACUUCCUGAUAUUCAACAAGCAGUCGAAGAUAAGGCAUGCACUGACACCACAGAAAACCAAGGGGAACCUCAACGAAGCAUUGUUUCUACUUCUGCUGAGCUUACUCCAACAGAAGAAGAAACAGCAGUAGUAGAGCAUACUCAAGAUACACAUGUACAGGAUGCCAGCAGUGGACCGGGAAGUGACCCAAAUUUGCUUGUCCAAUCAGCACAUCAAUCAGAAUUGGCUGAAGACAGCAAGGGUCAAUUUGUAAAGGCAGAAGAAACAGGCCAAAGUAAUGGUGCCACCCUUGAAGAACCAACUGCAGAAGACAAUGCUGCGAAUGAAAUCAGCCCGCUUGCUGAUUCUAAACAAGAGCAUGGAGUAGAAUCAAUGGAACAAAACAAAUGUAUUGAUGCUACUGAAGGUGAAGAGGCCUCCCAUUUAAGCCAAGAUCCUGGUUUAGAGGAGCCAGUUUCAGAACGUGAUACAACAACGGUUGAGCCAACUUCUGAUAUUCAGCAAGUAAAUGACAUGGAUGAAGCAGAAGAAAUGGCGGCCACUGAACCCAUCAACGGGGAAGAAAUUUCCUCUCAAAAAACAGAUGUUGCUACUUUGGAGGAUCCAUCUCCAACAGAUAAUGAAACGGCGCCAGAACAAAAUCCUGUUGAGUUAGAUGAAGAGAACUUGGGAAAUGAAAUCAGCAAUGCAAUCUUGGCAGAUGAAAAUAUCAAAGAGGAAGUACAAGAGCCAACAGAACAAAAGGACGAAUCAUCUGACUUGGGUGAAAAAACUGCUUUCACAACUCAGAAGGACGAGAGCGCUACUGAGGAAGAUAUUGUACAAAUUUCUGGUGAAGAUACAGUAGGGACUUCAAACAAUAUUGAGCAAAUCAAAGAACUGCCAAAAUCUGUAAUUGAACAUAAUGCGAUAACAAGUGGUGGCCAUACCAAUGAUCAAGAUGACGAGCAACUUCACAAUGUGGAGCUUCAAAUGCAAGUGUGUGAACGGUCAGUGGAUGUUUUAACCACUGAGAAGCCAGAUGAUCACAUACAAAAGGUUAGCUUGGAUCAGCAGCAGAAACAAGAUGAGGCGAUUGAAAAGCAAACGGAAGAAAUACAGACAGAUGAGCAGAAACAUGAUGACAGUAGGGCUGAUUUCACCACAGAGACAAUAUUGGAGCCCCAGAGCAACGAAAUUGACACAACUAAUAGGAACGACGAUGCCGAUGUGUUUGAGGCUGAACAAACAGAGGCAGUGACUACUGAAAUGCUCAAGAAUGAACAAACCCCACAUAUAGCCCAAGAAUCCAUUCCAAGCGUUACGGAUGCGAAGGUUGAGAACUCCACGGAAAUAGAAGAAACAACUGAACAAGAAGAUGCACCCAACAACACUGGCACUUUAUAUACUGAUGCUGAUGCUGAAAAAUAUAAUGAAGAUGAGAAGGAGAAUACAGAAAUAGAUGCAGCAGUAGCAAAAACUUCUACUGACAAACAGGAUGGAACAACUGAUGAAACUAUAAAUGAAGAGGUUGAAAAUGAUUUGGGAUUACCUGUCGAGAAGGAUCUUCAGAAAACAUCUGACCUAGCUUCUUCAAAUGAAGAAAUGCUAGAGAAUGAUCCUACAGUGGUUCCUCAGAACGUUGAAUCCAGAGUGCACUCAGAAGAGAAAGAAUGCAUAAACAAGGCCAAUGAUGGUAUGCAGGCCAUUCAAGCAUCAGAAGAAGAGAUCGUUGAUGAAGUGGAAAAGGAAGAAAUACAAAAUGAAGACACGAAUGUUAAUCAUGAAGAAAUUGAGACCAAACUUGUCGAUGGAGAGGCGUCUGGACUGCAGGACUUGAGUUUUCAUCCAAAGGUUGUAGAUGAUAAGUUGGCAACAGAGCAGAAUGGUGCAGAAGUUGAAACUGACUCGAAUGAGGAAAUGGCGACUGGCUAUACAGCAGUCACUGAAUCAGUCAAACUCGGUGAAGCUAUCUACGAUAAGGCUGGUGGAGCUGAUGUGGCACUAUCUGAUGAAAAUCUCGAGACCAUUGAGGACAACAGAAGGAAUCUUGAGGCUUCACCUGCCGUUACAGCAUCAGUAGAAAGUAUGAAGGAAGACAAUGAACAUCAUAAGCCUGCUCUUCCUGCACACUCCGCCGUGGAUGGAAAUGAAACUGAACAGGCAUCUGGCUUAGAGGUGACAGAAAGAGAGUUGUUUCCAGAGAAGCCACUCCCCACGGAAUCAGAAGAGCAAGAAGAGAGUCAAAUAACCACAGAACAAGAUGGAGAGAACGUACAAGAGCAAGAAACUGAUGACACAGAGAAAGAAAAAGAAGCUGAACAGAGUGAUUUGCCUGUCUCCCAUUUUCUGAUGAACCUGAUAAUGGGAAAAGAGAGCAAUGAGCCAGAUAGAAAUUCGGAAUUUAAGGCUGAAAAGAAGCAAGAAGAAACCACAAAAGAUGGCAGUUCUUUGAUCACCUCUCAACAGGAAGAAAGCUUGGUGCCAAUUCCAACAGAAAAUAAGGUGGACAAUGAACACAUCUUUGAACAAGGAAAACAUAAUCUAGAAGGCUCUGAAGAAACACAUGAUAUCAAGCUGGAAAAGGAUGAAGAGCUCAAUAGGAACACUCAUGAUUUGGAAGCACCAGUAUGCCAAAACAAUGUCCAGGGUGAAACUUCUAGUGAAAUGGUACCUGGUGGAUCUGGCCUGACUACAGAAAUGGAAACUAGAGACAUCAAGCUGGGUGAAAAGGCAACCAAUUCUGUUUGUCAGGAACAUAUGGAAGCGACAACACAGAUUGAAGAAGGAAGCUUGAAGAGCAACCUUCAUGACAUAACAAGCCCAAAGGUUUCUCAAGAGGACACAUUAGAGGAAGGAAGAACAGACCUUCAGCACGAGCCUUUACCUGAAAAAAGAAGUUCUGAUGCAGUGUCCGGGCAAACACUCUUGUUGACAGAACCAAAUAUGGGUGAUGAAAAGAAUUUGCCUAAUGACACUGAUGAUCUUCAAAGUCCUCUGAGCACAAAAAGAGAAGAGUCCAAUGAAUCUUCCAUCACUGAGGCCGAAAGUACUGUAGAGGCAGAACUGGAGAAUGGAGUAGACAAGGAAGAAAAGAAUCAGCAGACAACCAUGACAGGUGGAGCUACAGAAGAACAGAUAGAAAAUGAGCAUGAUAUCUCGCAGAAAGGCACAGAAGCAAUAUCAGAUGAGCAGAAGGGUGAAAUUACUGAACCAGUUAUGGGCAAUGAGAUAAAUUUGGUUCAUGAAAAGGGGAUUUCUGCAGACUCAGAAUGCAAGGACGAAAAGCAAAGCUCUAAGUUCUCAAACAGUGAACUAGACAACUCUGAGAAAGCUUCAGAAAUCCAGUUAGAUGGUUCCAGCUUGCAUAUAGACCAAGAUAAGCAAGAUGAAUCUGCGGGCGACCAAAUUGUGAUGGAGAAGAACAACCUGCUAGACAAGCCAGGAGAAUCUGAUUUGCAGAAGGUGCAGGAAACGGAAGUUGCACAAGAAUCUCCUGAAGAAUCUGAUGAAGGUGAUCAGAAUUCAUUGCCCAUAAGAGAGCCUGUGAUCAAAGAAGUGAAUGAAAACAAAACUGUUGAUAGCCAUGUGCAAACAGUGGACACACAAUCACAGGAAGAGCAAGAAACAUUUAAUUCACAGGUUCAGGAGCGUGAUCUCGAUGUGGCUUCACCAGAAGAGGCUCCUGAGGCUGAAGAAAAUAUUGUGGAGUCAAAGCCAGAAUUCAGCAGAGAUGAAGAACAAAGUCCAAAGAAAGAUGAAUCAAAUAUGGCAGGAGAGAAAACUUAUGAUGAGAAGACAAAGGGUGCACAGGAAGCUAAGAGUCUCACUGAUGAAGCGAAAACCAAAGUUGAAGAACAAGGAGUAGUACAGAAGGCGUCACACAAUCAGAAACGUGAUCUCGAUGUGGUUUCACCAACAGAAGCUCCUGGGAGUGAAGAAAAUGUUGUGGAUAUAAAAGAGCCAGAGUUCAGCACAGAUGAAGAAGAAAGUCCAAAGAAAGAUGUAUCAAACAUGGCAGAAGAGAAGAGUUAUGACAAGAAGACAAAUGGUGACGAGGAAGCUAAGAAUUUCACUGAUGACGCACCAACGAAAAUUGAAGAACGAGAGGCAGGGCAGAAGGCAUCACCUAAAAAGCAUAAUAUCUUAUCUGGUGUCGGAUCAAAGGUAAAGCACCAACUAGCAAAAGUGAAGAAAGCUAUCAUUGGCAAGCCUGGGCACACAAAAUCUGAAUCACCAAAAGUUUGA